CAGGAUUCUAACAGUUAUGGGGAACUGACAACUGUCUCUCUCGAGCUGGGAUUCAGACAGAGAGGCUGUGUGUCAAAGAGUCUCCUUGAAAAAAUCAUCUUUGAAGGUGACUGACUUGGAUUGUCCUCAAAGAAAGUGGAUCAUGGCCAGAUGGAAAUGAAGAGGAAAGGGAUCUUAUUUUUGGUGUCUGUCAUGCUCAGUAUUGCAAUGUUUGUGGGAACUUGCCUUGCUCACAUAGAAUAUGAAGAAAACUUUCACCAGUGCCACACUUCGCACCAAUACUGCAAUGAGCAAUGGAAUUGCAUUUAUCUGGAGAAUCAGAACAAAAGAGAGGAAGCAAAAUAGGACUCCUUGGGCCCAAGGAAUUAAUUACAUGGAAGAGACUCACAAUGUUGAUUUGGAGAACAAUUUGCAAUGCUUCAACUUCAAAGAAGAAAUUCUAACUCCCUGAGUCAUGAAAAUAAUCUCUCUCUACCCCCAAAUGAAAAGGUAUUCUUCCAUUAAAGCAUGAGGAAAAAAAGAGAGUAAAACAAUCACAGAAUGGCAUCAUAUCUGCAGUUGCAUCAGUGUGGAUUUCUAUAAUUGUAUCAGGGUGGAAAACUUCCAUGAUGUAUCAUAACCUAUCUGAUACUUGGGUAAAUAAGUAUUAAAGUGUUGAUCAACA